rnacentral:rRNA from 2 species
AUCCUAAACGGUGGAUCACUCGGCUCGUGGAUCGAUGAAGGACGCAGCAAACUGCGCGUCGAA